rnacentral:lncRNA from 1 species
GACCAAAUUUAACACUUUUAAUGGCCUUAAAUUUGACUAUUUUUAUUUAUCACUUUUUAAUACUUUUUAAAACCCCGCGGACACCCUGUAGCUGCAGACGCAGCCCCGAAAAACCACGCCCCCGACCAAACACGCCCCCAUGUGCCUGUUGAGCUCCCCCGAGCUCCCCUGGUGGUCAGAAAAGGGAAAUAUCUCAAUAACGGCAGCCCUCCCAGUCUGCAGCUAGGUAUUAUUGACAAAAGACGCCUGCAUGUUCGAAGACAAGAGAACUCGCAUGCGUGUUGCAACACCAGAUGGAAAUGACAGUUCAGGUAAAGACAGAUUUAUAUUUUUACAACUUGCGAAGAUUUUUUACUUUAAAUUUGAACGUUUAAGACAUAGUUUGAUAGCGCAUUAGUGAUUUUUUUCUGAAACACUUUUAUAUAAAAUUAAGCAUUAUUGGCAGUGGGGGAAGACAUCAUGGACGCAAAAUAUUUUUUAUAUAAUUUUUAAUGGGCUACAUGCAAGCCUUUUGGCCAAAACAAACGUAACAAUAGGCUAUUUAUUUGACCAUUUAUGACUCCUCAUCUAAUAAGCAGCAAACUCACGACGGCAAUGUGGUAGGCCAAAAAUUGUCGCACUCAGACGUGUAAAAUUUGUUAAAACAUGUAACAGAAAAUUCCCUUAAAAACCAUUCAGAUAUAUUUUUACAUGUCAACAUUUAAAUGUAUUAUAGUUUUUUUGACAAGUAGUUGCGUGUAUAGCAUCCAGUAAAUAUUAGUCUGAUGGUAACGUUUCGUAUUUAGGAUAAAAAGAAAAAGAAAACAUGAAAGCAGCACCAUGGUCAGUGACGACCUUACUCCUGCCUGUUUGAAAAUAGGUCACCACUUUCAGGGAUGGAAUGAUUCUGAGACAGCAGCAGUCCCACAAUUAUCAGUUGUUGUAUUUAGCUUUUCCAAUGUGUUUUGGUUGAUUUGUUGAUUUUAAAAAGCAGAGAGUUUGAUAUGUUGUCAACUUUCAAUAGUGGUGGUAUAAGAAGUGCAAAUGUCAGUCCUCUUUGGAUAACUGUAAAACAAACUGAUACAAUUAUUUGCUUUCCUCUGAGUCCACAGGACACCGACCAUGUGUAUUUUAAGACACCUUACAGCUUUCCACCCAGAGAGCAGGACAAUGACGGCAUGGACCAACACAACGUGGUCACCACAACCAGAGAUGUUGGGAUCCUGAGUAAAGACGUGUCUUACGACAGGCUUGUGGUAAGGACAUGCAAAGGACCAAGAAACAACUUAUCUUAUUUAAUCUGCUUAACCAGAAUAAUUCUGUUAAGCAUCUAAAUGGUUUUUGAUCUAAUUUUAGGAAAGGGCUCAGCAAGCUGAAGACCAAAGAAGAGUCAGCAGGUGAUCUUCUUAUAUCAUUUAUCACUCAGGAUAAAGGCCUACUGCUACAUCUGGAAGUGAGUUUGAAAUUUAUAAUUAAAUUUGCACACUGUAACUAAUUUCAGUCAAAACAUGACUUAUGAAUUAUUCAAGUGAAACAUGUUCUGCUAACCUAGUGUUUGGACAUUUACUUUGAGCAUCCUCCAAAAAUAUCUCUAUUUACAGGCAAUCAUCGCAGGAAAAGUGUCAUCCACCUGGGCUUCAUCAAAGGGCAGGGUGGACAGCUGGACAGAGUGAUGGGCUUCUUGACAAGCCUGGUUGAAGCACAGACAACCAGAUGUCACAAUCAAGUGGCAUUCAUGAUGGAUGUGCUUCUGCCAGAGGUACAUGCUGAAAAUGUUUAUGUAUCACAUGAAAAUAUUUUGUAGCAGUACUGUUGUCAGUCUAUAACUCAUGGAUAAUAUCUUGUUACCUGCAACAUGACAGACUAAUGUCUACAUGAAAGAUGUCCUUUUGUUCACCUCAUUACUCAGGCAACCAUCCAUGCGCUUUCAGCUGUCCAUGAAUGUUGACGGACAAAGACACAGAAAUGUACGGCAGUGGGCUGCAGUAUGACUGGAGGUAUUCUACAAACACAAGAACAGGGCUAAUGUCUAUAUGUAUUGUUUUCACAUUGUUUAUGACAGCCUCUAGGUGUGAAUGUCAUUUUUACUAGGGAUGUAAGAAAAUAUCGAUAUGGCAAUAUAUCGUGAUAAUUUUUCCAGCAAUAUUAUAUCGAUAUUCAAAAGCCGUUAUCGAAAAUAUUGAUAUGGCAAUAUAUCGUGAUUUUUUCCCUGCGAUUAUUACAUCGAUAUUCAAAAGCCGUGUAUCUAAUCUUUGAAAGAAUUUACAUGCAAACAUUUGUGUAUUUACUUUUCGUUUGGUGCAAUUCAAUCGCCACCCGCUAGUUGGCAGCAGUGUGCAACGGGUUUUGUUUCCACCAUUUAAAAUGUAAAUCCCUCCAUCAUGGGUCAGAUACCUCAUGUUAAACAUGUUACGUAUCAGUUUGGACAGUUUAUUGAACAUUCUUACAAUAAAUUCAGUAAAAAAAAUUGCUUGUAACGUCUGACUGAAUGUAUUGCAAUAUAUCGUGAUAUAUCGUAUCGUCUCCCCUGUAUCGUGAUAUGUAUCGUAUUGUCAGAAUUUCAACGAUACACAUCCCUGAUUUUUACUAAUUGAUAUUUAUCUUUGUCUCAUUAGUGAGAGGCAGCUGAUGUCCAAUGGCAUGGAACUGCUCAUAUACUCAGAGAAAUUCAGAAAAGUUCUGGACUCAACUGAAUUUUUGAAGAGGCUGUAGUAUUGUGUUGACUUUUUUUUUUUUGAAGGUAUUUGUAAGGCCAAUAAAAGUUGUUGCUGGUUGUUUCAUUUGUCUGAACUUUUUUUCUGAAGCAAAACUUUUCUGCUUUUGUGUUUACAGUAUAUUUUUUAAAGAUUAGUGUAUGGUCAAUAUCAGUUUACUAGUCUUGUGAAUUGUAUACUUAAUGCAAAAUAUUUUAGUAAUUUCUAAAUCAAUACAUUUUGUGUCAAAGGGCCAGCAAUUAUUCCUGUUAACAGAAUAUAUGAAAUGCAUAUAUACACAUGUAAAUAUGCCUAAAAAUUACACAUCAGCAGCUUUUCACUGUAAAGAAGCAAUAAAAAAUCAUAAAUAGUGACAUAAAUAUUAACUACUCACUCGUAUUGACUUAGACCCACUGUUAGUGCCUGUAAUAACAAAUGUUUGAAAGUUAAAUGUUGCUGUAGGAAGCGUGCUCCCACAUAAAUGGAGGCUAGUGGGCUUAAGGGGUUAAUUAAAACUAUUACCACUAAUUACUUUUUCUGAUAUUUUAUCUUAUUGCAUUUAAAAUAAACACUUGCACAUACAUUACUCACCUGCUAACUUAAGUAAGCAUAGGUAUGUUGCGCCUAUUGUCCGGCAACUGAUUAUUUGUUGGUGGUAUCUGUGUUUUAUAAUCCCACUGGGGAUGGCCAAAAAGUGUGUAUGCAAGAAAAAAAAUCCAUGCAUUCAUAUUUAAAUCUGGAGUCCUGUCUGUUUAAUUACAUUGUUACUAUUUCUGUAUAAACGUAUUAUUUCAAUUGUAUUGUUCGCAUUGAAAGGCGUUUGACAAAAAGGAAAUUGUUUAGGGGGCUUGAGGCUGGGUGCUGC